AUUGAACGCUGGCGGCAGGCCUAACACAUGCAAGUCGAACGGUAACAGGAAGAAGCUUGCUUCUUUGCUGACGAGUGGCGGACGGGUGAGUAAUGUCUGGGAAACUUCCUGAUGGAGGGGGAUAACUACUGGAAACGGUAGCUAAUACCGCAUAACGUCGCAAGACCAAAGAGGGGGACCUUCGGGCCUCUUGCCAUCGGCUGUGCCCAGAUGGGAUUAGCUAGUAGGUGGGGUAACGGCUCACCUAGGCGACGAUCCCUAGCUGGUCUGAGAGGAUGACCAGCCACACUGGAACUGAGACACGGUCCAGACUCCUACGGGAGGCAGCAGUGGGGAAUAUUGCACAAUGGGCGCAAGCCUGAUGCAGCCAUGCCGCGUGUAUGAAGAAGGCCUUCGGGUUGUAAAGUACUUUCAGCGGGGAGGAAGGGAGUAAAGUUAAUACCUUUGCUCAUUGACGUUACCCGCAGAAGAAGCACCGGCUAACUCCGUG
rnacentral:rRNA from 1 species